AACAACAACAACAACAACAACAACAACAAAAACAGAGAAAAGUUUGUUCAUUGGCCCAUUUUCUUUCUCCCAGAUUUCAGCUUUGGAAUUAAUACAUUAAGGUAAUCCUUGUAGUUUUGGGGUUUAUUUUAGCACAGUCUGUUCCAAAGACAAAUUACUGUAAGGGAAAAAAAAAAAUAAGCCAAAGCUGAUCUGACCUACACAAGAUGGGAAGCGAGACUGCUCGAUUCUGCCACUGCUGAGAUGAAUGUCAAAUCUCCCCGUUACUUCCAGCUUUAUUCUGAGUGUUGCUGCUUAGUUUAACUCAAAAUCCUUAUCGCAGAGGGAUCAUAAGGGUGGCAGAUCAAUCCAUACCAACGGAACAUACCCACUGCAAAUUAACACGCAGUGUACGUGUGUAUAGAUAGGGACACGGCACACGAGCUGCCAAUUAUGUCGUGCUUUAGAGGAAACUGCAGAGAAAAAGUCACGAAGAGAAGGCUGCCUGGUGAGGUGUCUCGAGAUGUAAAUGGCUCCUGCUGAAAAGGCAAUUGAGGUUGUUGUUACAGGACUGGAGGGAAUCUAACAUAACACAGGAACAGCUGAACCAGGUGCUUGAAACAAGACUUCAUUGCUGAGCUACAGGGAUUAAGGGAAGGGAUUUUAUUUGCCUGCUGCAGUUAGAUGCAGCGUCCUCAAGGACCCCAGAAUUUGCAUGGAAACAUGGAGGAGAGGAGAGAGGAAAUAACCUUUACAGAAAGAAAAUCAGUCAAAUCAUCUUUAUCAUUCAAACAAAAGAUGACAGGAAAUGAACAGGUGACUUCAAGGAUGAAAAAAAUACUCUUCUGCCAAUUCAAGAAAAGAUAAUGGAUGAGGUGUUACAGAACCUGUAGGUGAAUUUGAGUUUGCAUUAUAACCAUCUUUACCAAAGAUCUUUAUCAUGCAACAAACUACAUUUUGAGAACAAUGCCUGGAAUAAAGAGGGGAAGAAAAUGUUUAAUACUGCUACUUCCUCUAACUAAGAUCAUAGAAUCAUCAAAUCAUAAAAGGUUGGAAAAGACCUCUAAGAUCAGCCAUCAGCACCAUGCCCACUUUGGAGGAUGCCAAAGCAGACACAGAACUGAACAGCAGUCUCAGAUUGUGAUACAUCAUGCUUUUAGAAUUGUUAUUCUCUCCUGAUUCACCUUGUUGCAACUGUAACGAUGCCUGUAGUCCCAGAAGUGGGAGCAAGAAGAGAUCAUUACAACUGGGGCAUUUAUUUCCUCUCUGCUAUCAAAGAGAUGAGCCUCUGGACAGCAAAUUUAGUGGUAUUUUACUGGAUACAGAUGCAGAGCACUGCACAUCUCUUCUUCCUGCAAUAUAACAGCAGUGGAGAGUUCAGCUGAGAGAACAAACUUUGAGAAGAUAUCUCACUCCUGUAGGACAGUGAAAUAGUUGUCCAAAUCACAAUGUGGGACUCAGAGCCAUGGCCUAGAACAAGAGAAGGGUAUAUACCUUGUCUUUCUUAUUCUUACAAGGAAAGAUCAAGAUACAUCCAUAUGUGACUUUUGACAAUUCAAGAAAGAAAACUUCAAAUGCUCAGGUGUUUGAUCUUUAUUUUUUUAUAACCUAUCAAAACCACAGGAUCUGUAAGCAUUCCUUCAGCCCUAAAUGGUUUCUUUCUCUUUUCCAUUUUUCAUAUAGAAUCAUAGAAUCAUAGAAUGGCCUGGGUUGAAAAGGACCACAGUGAUCAUUGAGUUUCAACCCCCCUGCUAUGUGCAGGGUUGCCAGCCACUAGACCAGGCUGCCCAGAGAAUUUUUUUAUUCCAGUAAAGGAGGAGGCCUUUCUUUUGUUGAGAAACCAAAUGUAAAAGAGUAGAAGAUUUUUACAAGAAGCAAACUUGUAAAAAUGGCAUCCUGGGGUUCCCCAUUUGUUACAUUGCAAUUGUUUCUAGAUCAAACCUGUUCAGUUCAGCACUGAAAGGAUGGGUUUGCUGCUGUCCAUCACUGAGAGCUCUACUAAAGUAAAGCCUGAUACUUUCUGGGUCAUACUCUCUAAAAAUAAGUCACAAUGGGAAUGCUAAAAAAAACUAACUUACAACAUGUGAAUCAGAACUCCAGUUGCCUUCUACUUCUGCAGGGCUAAGAAAAACCCCUCAAGUACAGCAAUAGGUUAUUUAAAGACCGAAGUAAAUAGAUCUGACUGCAAGCAGACACAGGAAACAGAUCAAUGUCUCAUGAUGAUGAAAUCUAUGUAGUAAGUUUUGACAAGAGCCACAUGCUGGGGCUCAUCCAACAGGGAUCUUUCCACCAGGUAUUUGUUGAAACCUAUAAAGAUGCAGAUUAGCUUCAGUUGAUGCAGGGAAGUGAUUUUUUUUUCAUACAUCCUAUAAACUUUUAUAUUUUUGGCGGGGAGACUGAAAGUGCAUGAAUGCAUAGUAUUUUUUGCAGGCAGACAUAGCUUUAUUCCAAUCCUACCUCAGACUCUCAACCUUUUAUCUCUUAGACUUACUGCCAUGCCAGCUGUGGUUACAUGACUUCCAGUUUGCUUGGAUCAGGGCAGAGACAGGCUAUGUGUGCUUGUCAAACACAAAUACGUGCUAGAACCUGCAGCUAGAGUCCAGGAAAAGGUCUUUGACAUAACAAACAUACCGUGUAGUCCAAAACCUCCACAGCUCCAAGAUGUACUGCUGCCAUGACCUCAGAUUGUUGCUAUGAUGCUUUUUAUAGGGAUUUGAUGACAUCAGCUAGCACUAAUGUGAUAUUUUCCUAAGAGCUGUAGUAGAGGUAGAUGUGUAAAGUCAAAGCUUCUCUCUCAUAGCACUGGACCCACCUGGUGAGUACAAGGCUCCCUCAGGGCAAUGCCAUUUGUACUUUGAUCUGUGUUCAUGAGCACCAGGGCACACAGGAGCCCAGGGAGAAGGGCUGCCCUGGUUUCUUUCUAUUCUUCUUUGGUGUCAGCAUGCGCACCAUGUUGCUGCUCCUCACAAAAACUCAUCAGCUGGAAACAUGUCUAGAAAUAAAGCAGAGCUCUGAAAGCAACACUACUGCAUGCAGGACUGAGCAGCAGCUCCCAGUUUCUGCAAGUUUUUGGUUCUACUCUGUCAACCACCUUAGAACCAAAUUUGUAAAGAAAUGUAGAGGAAAUGAGAAAUUAAAAGGCCAAAUCUGGAAAAAAAAAAAGUCUUCCACUUCUGUUACUCAAACAUUGGAGAGAAGCCAAAAGGCAGAUACAGUAAUAAUACAACUUUUGGAAAAUGUGGAAUAAUAAUAGAAGCUAGAUUUAUUUAGAUCUCCAAUGGUGGAGACUACCUAGACCACAGAGCAGAAGGGAUUAAAAAAAAAACACACACUCUGAUAUUUGAGAUUUUUUUUUAACGUAUCAGACAAAACCAUUGUGAGAUUGAGAAUGGAAGCUGAAGCCACACAAAGUCAGACUGGAAGAAAGGUGACAACUUUACCUUGAUAACAGCCCAUCACUGCAGGAAUAUCUCAUGUAUGGUUUCCCCAACAGUUAAUCUUUUAAUUUUUUUAAAAUUUGAUUUCUUUAUAAAAGAUAGGCUUUUAUUUACUAUUUUAGUCUGGCCUGUACUAUGCAGGAAGCCAGAUUAAAUCAUCAUAAUAUUCCCUUCUAGCCUUAAUCUACAUAUGAUUAAAACAUAUUAUGUAGUUACCUGUCCAUAUAGAGAUGACCAUCUCCUCCCCACUCAAGUUGAUAUUUUCAAGCCACCAAAUGAAACUAGCCAAGACAAAGUGUGCUUGAUGAAACGGUGCUGCUGUGUGACAUCUGUGUCUGUGGGGAUGUCAGUGAGUAAAUCUUGAGGCUGAAAUCCUAAAGCACAAAAGAUACACAGCCAGCGUGGUGUCCCACAGGUGGGUGCAGGUGUGCCACACUCUGGAGGGGACAACCAACCCUUCAGGCCCUUCCUGUAUUCCACCAUCCUCUGUGAAUAUUGGAGAUGAAAUUUUUGUACACUUUCGCAGUAGCAAUCAUGUGAACCUGAGCUCAUUUUCACAAACAAAGCAUGCCCAAUCAACAGUCUCAUUUUUUUUUUCCUGCUUUAUGGAUGUUGAAGCAACAAUUUUGUGCAAAAGGUACAGGUGGGUUUUACGCUCCUGCUGGGCCCCAUGGUAGAGACUCACACAACAAAGGCUUGCAGGUGUUUCCUAUAUCUUUGUGGUUAUUUCUUUCAAACAGCAUCUGUUGAAAUGCAUCUUGCCUCCUGCUUAAAAAAGCCCAAUGCUUGGCAAUGCAGGGUGCUUGCCUUAGCUUUAACUGCCCACCCACACUGAACAUUUUAUGUUAUUUAGAUCGACCAGGGGCACAAUGAGAGCCUUUGACCAGCAAGACUUCCCUUCAGAGUGGGAGGCUCUGGAGGGGGAAAGGUGACCCAGAGAUGUGGUAACAUUUUUCACCUCCACUUCUCUUUCCAGUCGGGCAGCCCCGUCAUAGUUGGCACUGACCGCACUACCACCUGCUGCGUCCCAGCAGAAAUCCACACAAAACCUGGCUUGUCUUUGGGUAAUUGCACUUGUAAAGUAGAAGCAGCUCAUUUAAGCAUUACACACGGCAUCUUAUUAAGCACCUCGUGAUACAUAAAAUUAAGACAACUGAAAGAAAAUUUCCGAAAACCCUUCUAUACGGUUUGUGACCACAGCUGAUUUGUAUCUGGUGAGGUUUCCUGGGUGAUGAGUCCAUAAUUCCCAUCACCUUUUGGAAAAAGUCUCAUUUAACUUUAUUUUGCUUCAAUAAUAACUACUAAUGUUGUGUUAACCAAUCAAAAGAGAACAAGUGGUCAAAGCAAGACCUAGAGAAACAGACCCAGAACACAUCUAACCUGAAGUAGAUGUAGGUUGAACAUGAUUUGGUUCUGAAUUCUCAGCAUGAGCUAUAAGUAAUUAUAACUAAAUCCCCUGGGCAAACUGAUCUACGUGUGGUGGCCCCAUUCAAUGCAGGGGAGUUGGACUAAAUGGCCCUUGGAGGUCCCUUCCAACUCUAAGGAGUCUAUGAUUCCAUGAUUAUGAUUCUAAUUCAGGCAUGCAAAGUGGUCUGGGAGGGAACUGGAUGUCAGGUGGUAGCACUGGGCAGUACAAUCUACCUCGAUCUGUGAAUUUCAUUGUAGGAAGAGCAUUAUGUUGUUUUGGUGUUUGUUUGUUUUCCUUAUUUUUUUUUUUAAUUUCUUUAUAGUUUCUUUUUCUUUAAGAUAUGAUUUAGAAACCACUGGGAGUUACUUGGAUGCUGCCUUCCAAAUUCAGUGCUUUUAUUUUUAAUAUUGUAGUGGAAAUGCUAAGUCACAGCUUGAAGCAGUGAUUGAGCACCUGGUGGAAGGCAGGGCCAACUCAGGUGAGCUCAGGUGCAUGCAAUGCAGCUGAGUGAUCAGAAGGACUGGAGCCAGGAUCCACCCCUUCCCAGCCCUCAUUUAAGGGUUGGCAGUGGAGGCAAGGAUAUCUUCCUAGAGUUUUCUACCUACCUGAGUCUUUCCAAAGAGUCUGGACAGAAGAGAUAGUAGAAAAUACGUCCAUUUCAUCAGACUGGAUGUGUUCAAAGGUGAUAACAGAAGCUGAAUGAACUUGGCUGCCACUGUCCCCGCCUACAGCCAAAGACUGAAUUUGGUGAUGGCCCUCCUUGAGUAGAGCCAAGUGGUGCUCCAUAGCCAAGACUGUCAGCCCAAAAGAGUUGCUGAUCAGCCUGGUCUCAUGUUCCAAGAAUGAAACCCUGGCAUGGAAGUGGCAUAUCUGCCAGUUAAUGUCAACAUUUGAUGUGCAGUCAGAGAGCAAACAAGCUUAAGUCUAUACUUAUGAAAUGCUUUUGGAUUAUGUAAAAACAUUGCAGAGGAUUUUAUUGCCUCUUGUUGUACUGGCUAAGAGUUACCCAAACCAUCCACAGAUGGAAGAAGAAGGGGUUAUGUGCAACUUCUGGAGUAGCUAGAAGGAAGUGGUGUUCUAAACUAUGGUUAUUUAACCAAAGGAGCUCAAAAUGAGUGGGAAAUACUUGUGUUCCACACAGCAUUAUUGUACACUACGUAUCAAAUACAACCAAUAGAGAAAGACAAAUAACCUGGGAAUGGCAAACGCUUCCAGUGAAUUACAAAUAUGUUUUAGAGUGACCUGAAUCGCAUUUCAAAGCGCUCAGAAUAUUAUCCCACUAAUUCAAGUGUUUACCGUGGAUCCAGUCUCACUGCCUCCAUUCAUGUGAACAGUUCCAUCCAUAGCAAGAAGACUGCAGAGGUAAAGGCCAUUCCUGAGUACCCAUUUUCAGAACCCGCUGUUCUUUCCUUACAUGCUUUAAAAUUAAAAUGUUACAUUUACAGUCAUAUUUUCUAUCGCAAAGAGUUUUUCAAACAGUCUACAUCUCCUACCUGGUUAAUCUUUACAGAUAAGAUCCAUCAUAAACACAGACAUUACUUUUUGGCAAACAUUUGGAUUUUUUUCCAACAGUUUUUCUUUGGGUCAGAAAACAAAAUCAUUAUUUU
ensembl:lncRNA